rnacentral:tRNA from 1 species
GCUCCAUUAGUUCAACUGGUAGGACAUGUAUGAACAGUACAGAUGCGGGUUCGAUCCCCGUAUGGAAAA